rnacentral:lncRNA from 14 species
UGAAAGUGUUUGUACCAGGAUUGCAUUUAUUGUUUCUUAAAUAAAUAGGGCAGUAUUUCAUGAUAUCUCCAAACCAAAAACUUUAUUUAAAUUGCCUGUGGGACAACAAAACCCACCUCAAACAACUAUUGCUUGAAUAUGAAGAUGCUUGCAGUUAAAAUCCAUUUGGAGAAAGAACCAAACCACAUCAGAAGGUAAGCAGAGGAAUAGUACACCAAGAGUCUGCAGAGCCAGGGCCCUUGCACCCAGCAGAACAGUCCAGAUUCCUUUCCCUGUGCACGGUGUUAUCUCAACAGAGCUGCAUGAAUGCAUCUACAAGAAUUAUCUCCUGGAAUAGGGGAGAUAGGGGAGACCAUGAUCCCAGAAACAUCUGCUAGACGUGACCCGUUUUCCUCCGCUCCAGCCCAGGCGCACCGUGUCGAACCAGGAAGGGUAAAGCUGGUGGCUAGCAGUGCAGCAAGCAGGGGCAGCGCCUGCAGGACAGCAGGGCCAAGCCCAGCCGGAGAAAGCACAGCCCCACCUGGACGGGGCAGGGGUCGCCGUGCCACCGCUGUCCCCCCACGAGAAAGCCGACAGCCGGGGAAGCUGGGGAGGGAGAACCAAGCAGCCCAGCUCGUCGCUGCCAUCCCCGGCAAGGCGUGCUCUCCGCCGCUCGGCCCCGUCUGCCGCUUCGCCUGCAGCCGCGGGGAGACCAACAUUGCUGGCUGGGUUGCGACGUGACCCGCCGGCGGGGCAGCGGGCCGGAAUGCCCUCGAACGUGUCCCACGAAGCCCUACCCACCGCGCUGACGGGAUGCGCCCGCAGACCCGCUCCAUCCUGCUGGCUCCCAGCUGCGAGCGGCCGCCCUAGAAACCUCGGGGGCUUCCGCGCCCGGACACCCCCCGGAGAGGGGGUGUGGGCCGGCCCGGGCCGGGCCAAGGGGGGGGCCGGCGGGGCAGGAUUAGGUUUCAGGCGGCCAGGGCGUGCCUGAGUGAGCUUCCCCCGCGGCGCGGCUCGGCGCCGUUACUUAGGGACGAGAAGGGCGAAGGCGGAGAGCGGGGUUGGGCCGUGAGGCCCGCUGAGCCGCUGGGGUAAGAGGGGCGCUGGGCUGGGGAGCGGGGGGAGCCCGCCUGUGCUGUUCUGUACACAGGGCAGAG